rnacentral:tRNA from 1 species
GCUUCCAUAGUUCAAUGGAUAGAAUAUCAGAUUCCGGUUCUGACGAUAGCAGUUCGACUCUGCUUGGAAGUA